GGGUCUCACAACAAACAUCCUUUUUAUUUGACCCAUCACAAGGCAUUUCACAAAAUCUUUAUUUGGUGUAAUGUAACUUUAGAAUUUCUCAGUUUAAAAGAUAACUGCUAUGUUACUAAUUUACGUAGAGUGGUAGAGAGGAUUAUUGACUAUUUGCAGAAUGAAGAGUUCAGAGAGGAAAUAAAUGAAGAAGUGAAAUGACGAAGACGAUAAAGGAGCAAGGAAUUUUUAUUUGGUCAAAGGCUAGAACAAGUUAUCAUACUUACAGGGAGGAAAGAAGGACUGAAAUGAGGGCCUCUACUUCAGAGAACAGGGGUGAAGUUGCCAGGCAUGACUGUCCGUCACCCAGGAGACAAAGCCCCACCCAUAAAGUGGUGACUCGAGGCGCAAGGGAGUCCGGCGAGAAGUGUGGCGGGCCCAGGUUGCUGCCAGUUCUUUUAGGAUCACCGAGCAGGGUACGCCUUCCCCUGCCCCAAGAUGUGUCAUGGAUUUCGGCUUUUCUGGGACUACCUGAGUGGCUGUGA
rnacentral:lncRNA from 1 species